rnacentral:lncRNA from 1 species
CACGAUUACAAGGUGAAGUCCCAUGAUAUGCUGUCUGCAAGCUGAGGAAGAAGGAAGCCAAUAGUGGCUCAGUCAGAGUUCAGAAGCCUCAAAAGCAGGGAAGCUGAUAGUAUAGCCUUCAGUCUGUGGCUGAAGGCCUGAGAGCCCCUGGAAAACCACUGGUGUAAGUCCAAGAGUCCAGAAGCUGAAGAACCUGGAGUCUGAUGACCAAGGGCAGGAAGCAUCCAGCACGGGACAAAGAAGAAAGCCAGAAGACUCAGCAAGCCAGCUCACCUCACUUUCUUCUGCCUGCUUUGUUGUAGCUGAGCUGGCAGCCAAUUGGAUGGUGCACACUCACAUUGAGGAUUGGGAGGCUGCUGUGUAUGGAUAAGAUACCUGCUACAGCCAGCUUGACACCAUGAGAAGGACAAGAGAAUUGCAGAGACACAUAUCCAGGAUUCUGAUCCAGUUGAGGCACUGAAAUAAUCUAGAACCACCUUCAAAUUUCUUAUAAAGAGAGGCUUAGAUCCUUUAUGGAGCCAGCACACACACAUCAGGCAAAAGGCAUAUACUUCACACCUUGAAGAGAAGACAGGGCCUUAUCUACUUAUACUUUUCAUCUACUCCUCAACUUGCUGCUUCUUCCCCUUGACCUUGGUGAUUCCUAAGACAGGUACUGGGCUAAUGGACUAAAGGCUGGAGAUGUCUAGAUGAGCAGAGCAGUGCUUGUUCACCUGCUCUUCAGGUGGUGGGUGGAUAAACAGAUGGCUCCCACUUGCUAGGAUAAGAGGUAAGAUGGAGGAGGGCACAGAGAGAUAGGAAUGUAUAUGUACCAGACUUCUCUGGAGCAGAUGACACAGAUUUCCAAUUUAUGGAUUUGCUCAUGGCUCAGCCUCUCUGUGGCCAUUACCUCUUAGCAAAAGAGGACACAUGUAUGAUAGACUGUACUUCCUUGCACACAUUAUUUCCAUGUUUAUGUCUUUCCUGGGUAACUUGGUGUAUUAGUCUGUUUUCACGCUGCUGACGAAGACAUACCCAAGACUGAGAAGAAGAGGUUUUAAUGGACUUACAGUUCCACGUGGCUGGGGAGGCCUCACAAUCAUGGCAGAAGGUAAAAGCAUCUCACAUGGUGGCAGACAAGAGGAGAGAGCUUGUGCAGGGAAACUCCCAUUUUUAAAACCAUCAGAUCUCAUGAGAUUUACUCAUCAUCAUAAAAAUAGCAUGAGAAACACUGGCACCCAUGAUUCAAUGACCUCCCAAUGACCUCCCAUUGGCCUGGUAUCAGAAUUGUACAUGAUCACUUUCGCCAUAUUCUAUUAACCAAAACAAGUCACAAGGCCAGGGCUAAUUCAACAAGUGGGGAAAUGGACUGUAUUUGUUGAUGGGAGGAGUUGGAAAGUUACAAGGCAAGGACAUAUAAAUAUAGUGAGAAGAAUAGUUGCAGUCAUAUUGGCAAAUAAUCUAUUACACAUUA